GCCGAGCGUGGUGGCUCACGCCUGUAAUCCCAGCACUUUGGGAGGCCGAGGCAGGGGGAUCACGAGGUCAGGAGAUAGAGACCAUCCUGGCUAACACUGUGAAACCCCGUCUCUACUAAAAAUACAAAAAAAUUAGCCGGGNUUUUUAGUAGAGACGGGGUUUCACCGUGUUAGCCAGGAUGGUCUCGAUCUCCUGACCUCGUGAUCCGCCCGUCUCGGC
rnacentral:SRP_RNA from 1 species